GGGGUCUUUGUAUGUGUCGUUGU
rnacentral:piRNA from 1 species